rnacentral:misc_RNA from 1 species
UCCGGCUUAUCACCGGCAGUCCCACUAGAGUGCCCAACUUAAUGCUGGCAACACGCCACGGGGGUUGCGCUCGUUGCGGGACUUAACCCAACAUCUCACGACACGAGCUGACGACAGCCAUGCAGCACCUGUGUUACGGCUCCCUUUCGGGCACACCCAGCUCUCGCUGGGCUUCCGUACAUGUCAAGGGUAGGUAAGGUUAUUCGCGUUGCAUCGAAUUAAUCCACAUCAUCCACCGCUUGUGCGGGUCCCCGUCAAUUCCUUUGAGUUUUAAUCUUGCGACCGUACUCCCCAGGCGGACAACUUCACGCGUUAGCUGCGGUACUGAGAAAUCGCUUCCCCAACACCUAGUUGUCAUCGUUUACGGCAUGGACUAC